UCAGGUUAUUGACUGAUCGCGUGGCUUGCUACGAGGAAAGUCCGGGCAGCUUAGGGAAGAACAGUCGCUAACGGCGACCGGGGGUAACCCUAGGGAAAGUGCCACAGAAACGAAACUACCUAGCAAUAGGAAAAGGUGAAACGAGUGGGGUAAAAGCCCACAAUCUCUAACGGUGACGUUAGAGGGAGGUAAACCCUGUUUGCUGCAAGGAGAUGGACUUUAGUCGGCUAAACCGACUGGUGUCCCGCCAGAGUUCAUCACUCUACCCGCUAGAGUCUUCGGGCAACCGGAGAACUAGAUAGAUGAUCAGAUAAAACAGAACCCGGCUUACGGAUAACCUGACACU
rnacentral:RNase_P_RNA from 1 species